rnacentral:tRNA from 1 species
AAAAUCCCUCGACUUUAGAAAUCGUGAGGGGGCAGUCCCUCUAUCCCCAG